rnacentral:rRNA from 1 species
GACGAACGCUGGCGGUGUGCUUAACACAUGCAAGUCGAACGAGAGCGUUUCCUUCGGGAAACUAGUAAAGUGGCGCAAGGGUGAGUAACACGUGAAUAAUCUGCCCUCAAGAUCGGGAUAACUUGGCGAAAGCUAGGCUAAUACCGGAUAAGACCACAUUUCACAAGAAAUGCGGGAAAAGAAGUCUCAAUCUUUACUUGAGGAUGAGUUCGCGGACCAUUAGCUUGUUGGUGAGAUAAAAGCUCACCAAGGCUACGAUGGAUAGCGGCCUGAGAGGGCGAUCGGCCACACUGGAACUGAGACACGGUCCAGACUCCUACGGGAGGCAGCAGUGGGGAAUAUUGCGCAAUGGGCGGAAGCCUGACGCAGCAAACAACCGUGUGAGCGAAUG